CAGGUAGGUGGUCUGAUUUGUCUGGCGGUGAAAUCCUUGAGCUUAACUCAAGAAGUGCCCCGGAAACGGUCAGACUUACGAGUCUUGGAGAGGGUGGCGGAAUUCCCGGUGUAGCGGUGAAAUGCGUAGAGAUCGGGAGGAACACCAGAGGCGAAGGCGGCCACCUGGACAAGCACUGACACUCAACUGCGAAAGCGUGGGGAGCAAACA
rnacentral:rRNA from 1 species